UUUGUCAGAGAUCAGCUGUUCUGCUCUGGCCUCAGCUCUGAAGUCCAACAUCCAUCUGAGAGAUCUGGACCUGAGAUACAACGCUCUGCAGUAUUCAGAUGUGAAGCUGCUGAGAGAUCUUCUGGAGAGUCCAGACUGCAGACUGGAGACUCUCAGGAUCAGAGAUGAUGAGACGAUCAGAGCCAAGAUCCAGAAGAACUGAACUCCCAUCCCCCGAGUCCUGCGGCAGGAAGCGCUCCUUCUCUUCAAGAACUCCUGGACCCUGCAAGCUGGUCCAGAACCAGAGUCCCAGUGAGGAGUCCAGCCAGUCGACCUCUCAGAGUUAAACUAAACUACAACAUUAUUAAAGAUCAUGUUUAAAGUUAAAAAAGGAUGCUUUCAGACUGAAUCCAGAAGUUUCUCAAGCUGCAGUCAAAGCAGGUCAUUUGUGAAAUAUAUA